rnacentral:rRNA from 1 species
UACGUAGGUGGCAAGCGUUUGUCCGGAAUUAUUGGGCGUAAAGCGCGCGCAGGCGGUUUCUUAAGUCUGAUGUGAAAGCCCCCGGCUCAACCGGGGAGGGUCAUUGGAAACUGGGAAACUUGAGUGCAGGAGAGAAGAGCGGAAUUCCACGUGUAGCGGUGAAAUGCGUAGAGAUGUGGAGGAACACCAGUGGCGAAGGCGGCUCUUUGGCCUGUAACUGACGCUGAGGCGCGAAAGCGUGGGGAGCAAACAGG